rnacentral:rRNA from 1 species
CGAAGGGGGCUAGCGUUGUUCGGAAUUACUGGGCGUAAAGCGCACGUAGGCGGACAUUUAAGUCAGGGGUGAAAUCCCAGAGCUCAACUCUGGAACUGCCUUUGAUACUGGGUGUCUUGAGUAUGGAAGAGGUGAGUGGAAUUCCGAGUGUAGAGGUGAAAUUCGUAGAUAUUCGGAGGAACACCAGUGGCGAAGGCGGCUCACUGGUCCAUUACUGACGCUGAGGUGCGAAAGCGUGGGGAGCAAACAGG